rnacentral:rRNA from 1 species
UCAAGUGAAGAAGCGCAUACGGUGGAUGCCUUGGCAGUCAGAGGCGAUGAAAGACGUGGUAGCCUGCGAAAAGCUUCGGGGAGUCGGCAAACAGACUGUGAUCCGGAGAUGUCUGAAUGGGGGAACCCAGCCAUCAUAAGAUGGUUAUCUUACACUGAAUACAUAGGUGUAAGAGGCGAACCAGGGGAACUGAAACAUCUAAGUACCCUGAGGAAAAGAAAUCAACCGAGAUUCCCUUAGUAGUGGCGAGCGAACGGGGACCAGCCCUUAAGUUGUAUUGAGAUUAGCGGAACGCUCUGGAAAGGGCGGCCAUAGCGGGUGAUAGCCCUGUACGCGAAAAUCCCUUUGCAAUGAAAUCGAGUAGGACGGGGCACGAGAAACCUUGUCUGAAUAUGGGGGGACCAUCCUCCAAGGCUAAAUACUACUGACUGACCGAUAGUGAACCAGUACCGUGAGGGAAAGGCGAAAAGAACCGCGGAGAGCGGAGUGAAAUAGAUCCUGAAACCGUAUGCGUACAAGCAGUGGGAGCCCACUUUGUUGGGUGACUGCGUACCUUUUGUAUAAUGGGUCAGCGACUUAUUUUCAGUGGCGAGCUUAACCGAAUAGGGGAGGCGUAGCGAAAGCGAGUCUUAAUAGGGCGUCUAGUCGCUGGGAAUAGACCCGAAACCGGGCGAUCUAUCCAUGGGCAGGUUGAAGGUUGGGUAACACUAACUGGAGGACCGAACCGACUACCGUUGAAAAGUUAGCGGAUGACCUGUGGAUCGGAGUGAAAGGCUAAUCAAGCUCGGAGAUAGCUGGUUCUCCUCGAAAGCUAUUUAGGUAGCGCCUCAUGUAUCACUGUAGGGGGUAGAGCACUGUUUCGGCUAGGGGGUCAUCCCGACUUACCAAACCGAUGCAAACUCCGAAUACCUACAAGUGCCGAGCAUGGGAGACACACGGCGGGUGCUAACGUCCGUCGUGAAAAGGGAAACAACCCAGACCGUCAGCUAAGGUCCCAAAGUCAUGGUUAAGUGGGAAACGAUGUGGGAAGGCUUAGACAGCUAGGAGGUUGGCUUAGAAGCAGCCACCCUUUAAAGAAAGCGUAAUAGCUCACUAGUCGAGUCGGCCUGCGCGGAAGAUGUAACGGGGCUCAAACCAUGCACCGAAGCUACGGGUAUCAUCUUUUGAUGAUGCGGUAGAGGAGCGUUCUGUAAGCCUGUGAAGGUGAGUUGAGAAGCUUGCUGGAGGUAUCAGAAGUGCGAAUGCUGACAUGAGUAACGACAAUGGGUGUGAAAAACACCCACGCCGAAAGACCAAGGUUUCCUGCGCAACGUUAAUCGACGCAGGGUUAGUCGGUCCCUAAGGCGAGGCUGAAAAGCGUAGUCGAUGGAAAACAGGUUAAUAUUCCUGUACUUCUGGUUAUUGCGAUGGAGGGACGGAGAAGGCUAGGCCAGCCUGGCGUUGGUAGUCCAGGUUUAAGGUGGUAGGCUGAGAUCUUAGGUAAAUCCGGGAUCUUAAGGCCGAGAGCUGAUGACGAGUGUUCUUUUAGAACAUGAAGUGGUUGAUGCCAUGCUUCCAAGAAAAGCUUCUAAGCUUCAGGUAACCAGGAACCGUACCCCAAACCGACACAGGUGGUUGGGUAGAGAAUACCAAGGCGCUUGAGAGAACUCGGGUGAAGGAACUAGGCAAAAUGGCACCGUAACUUCGGGAGAAGGUGCGCCGGUGAGGGUGAAGCAUUUACUGCGUAAGCCCACGCCGGUCGAAGAUACCAGGCCGCUGCGACUGUUUAUUAAAAACACAGCACUCUGCAAACACGAAAGUGGACGUAUAGGGUGUGACGCCUGCCCGGUGCCGGAAGGUUAAUUGAUGGGGUUAGCGCAAGCGAAGCUCUUGAUCGAAGCCCCGGUAAACGGCGGCCGUAACUAUAACGGUCCUAAGGUAGCGAAAUUCCUUGUCGGGUAAGUUCCGACCUGCACGAAUGGCGUAACGAUGGCGGCGCUGUCUCCACCCGAGACUCAGUGAAAUUGAAAUCGCUGUGAAGAUGCAGUGUAUCCGCGGCUAGACGGAAAGACCCCGUGAACCUUUACUAUAGCUUUGCACUGGACUUUGAAUUUGCUUGUGUAGGAUAGGUGGGAGGCUUUGAAGCGUGGACGCCAGUGUGCGUGGAGCCAACCUUGAAAUACCACCCUGGCAACUUUGAGGUUCUAACUCAGGUCCGUUAUCCGGAUCGAGGACAGUGUAUGGUGGGUAGUUUGACUGGGGCGGUCUCCUCCUAAAGAGUAACGGAGGAGUACGAAGGUGCGCUCAGACCGGUCGGAAAUCGGUCGUAGAGUAUAAAGGCAAAAGCGCGCUUGACUGCGAGACAGACACGUCGAGCAGGUACGAAAGUAGGUCUUAGUGAUCCGGUGGUUCUGUAUGGAAGGGCCAUCGCUCAACGGAUAAAAGGUACUCCGGGGAUAACAGGCUGAUACCGCCCAAGAGUUCAUAUCGACGGCGGUGUUUGGCACCUCGAUGUCGGCUCAUCACAUCCUGGGGCUGAAGCCGGUCCCAAGGGUAUGGCUGUUCGCCAUUUAAAGUGGUACGCGAGCUGGGUUUAGAACGUCGUGAGACAGUUCGGUCCCUAUCUGCCGUGGACGUUUGAGAUUUGAGAGGGGCUGCUCCUAGUACGAGAGGACCGGAGUGGACGAACCUCUGGUGUUCCGGUUGUCACGCCAGUGGCAUUGCCGGGUAGCUAUGUUCGGAAAAGAUAACCGCUGAAAGCAUCUAAGCGGGAAACUUGCCUCAAGAUGAGAUCUCACUGGAACCUUGAGUUCCCUGAAGGGCCGUCGAAGACUACGACGUUGAUAGGUUGGGUGUGUAAGCGCUGUGAGGCGUUGAGCUAACCAAUACUAAUUGCCCGUGAGGCUUGACCAU